rnacentral:rRNA from 1 species
AGCAGCCGCGGUAAUUCCAGCUCCAAUAGCGUAUAUUAAAGUUGUUGCAGUUAAAAAGCUCGUAGUUGAAUUUCGAGACCGGCUUACUGGUCGUGCUAUUGUGCGUACUGGUAUAAUCGGUUUCUCCUUUCUGACGAACUAUAAUGCCAUUAAUUUGGUGUUAUAGGGAAUCAGGACUGUUACUUUGAAAAAUUAGAGUGUUUAAAGCAGGCUCACGCUUGAAUACAUUAGCAUGGAAUAACGGAAUAGGACGUUUGAUUCUAUUUUGUUGGUUUCUAGGAUCGACGUAAUGAUUAAUAGGGAUAGUUGGGGGCAUUAGUAUUCAAUUGUCAGAGGUGAAAUUCUUGGAUUUAUUGAAGACUAACGUACUGCGAAAGCAUUUGCCAAGGAUGUUUUCAUUAAUCAAGAACGAAAGUUAGGGGGAUCGAAGACGAAUCAGAUACCGUCGUAGUCUUAACCAUAAACUAUGCCGACUAGGGAUCGGGAUGAUGUUAAUUUUUUAAUGACUCAUUCGGCGCCUUAC